rnacentral:rRNA from 1 species
CCCAAGAGUUCAUAUCGACGGCGGUGUUUGGCACCUCGAUGUCGGCUCAUCUCAUCCUGGGGCUGUAGCCGGUCCCAAGGGUAUGGCUGUUCGCCAUUUAAAGAGGUACGUGAGCUGGGUUUAAAACGUCGUGAGACAGUUUUGUCCCUAUCUGCCGUGGGCGUUGGAAGAUUGACGGGGGCUGCUCCUAGUACGAGAGGACCGGAGUGGACUCACCUCUGGUGUACCGGUUGUCACGCCAGUGGCAUCGCCGGGUAGCUAUGUGGGGAAAGGAUAACCGCUGAAAGCAUCUAAGCGGGAAACCUGCCUGAAGAUAAGUCUUCCUGGAGGCUUUGACCUCCCUGAAGAGUCGUUCGAGACCAGGACGUUGAUAGGUUGGAUGUGCAAGCGCUGUGAGGCGUUGAGCUGACCAAUACUAAUUGCUCGUGAAGCUUGAUCCU